rnacentral:sRNA from 1 species
CUCUGCCUCCCUAGUGCUGGGAUUAAAGGCAUUAGCCACUACCACCUAACUUAAAAAUGUUUUUGUAGAGCUGAGCCACAUAUAUUAAAACUAAGUUGUAACAGUAAUAAUAAAGUAGAUAUAUAAUGCAAACUUUUCUUUUUAAGGGUUUAUCUGAAAGGAGCUAGGUUCUGGCUGAAGGGUUUAUACGCGUUAGUAAACUGCUGUUUGGGUGUCUACUGUGUGCAGGCCCCAUGUGAAGUCCUAAACGAUUUAGCUAAACCACACAAAGCGGCUUCUACCACAGUAUAAUUUAACUCCAGUGGGAAACACACACACACACAGUAUGCAGGAUGGGAAAACAACUGUAUGUCAGAUAGGAGGUUAAUUUACAACACAACCAGUAUGCAACUAGACCCAGCAAAGACUUCAACUGAGAUAAUUUGGGUAGAGAAAUGAGCUUGGGACUUUGCAUGUGGUUAAUGGCCAAUAAUUAGUGACUCUUAAAUCCUAAUGUUGGGUCAACAUGUUCCUUUUCUAGAAACUAUUAAGAAUACACGACAAAAUAUAAAGACAUAAUCAACCAGGAAACUAAAGCAUGAGACAUGUGGGUUUGAGACCAGCUUCAAUUCUAGGCCAGCCUAGGCUACCAUUCACAAAACCCUGUCUCAAAAUUUAUAAAAUACUAAAAAUGAAAAAGAUUCAUCUGUCAACCCUACUACUUUGUCUAGCACUGCUACCUGUAGUUGUCCCGAAAGGCUCAAGUGUUAAAAAGGGUUGGCCCUCAGCUACUGGCAUGUUAAAGUAACUGAGUGACAAUGGGACAACGUCAUCAAUGGGGUAAACCACUGGUGCAUUCAUAGCCAAGGCAGGUGGGGCCUAGUCAGAGGAUACAGGUCACCAAGGGGAGAGACUUUGAAAAGUGUAUUUUGUUUUUUGGAACUUACAACAUAAGCCAGGCUUGUCUCUGCCUUCUGAGUGCUAGGGUCAAAGGUGUGUACCAACAAGACUGGCUACAAGAUUUCAGGUAUAGUCACUUGUUCAGACAGGUAUUGCUAUAGAGCCCAGUCUGGUAUUAACACUUUUUCUGCUUUUCUCAGUUUUUUUUAUCUUCAGGCUAGCCUCAAAUUUGUACACUGCUAAGAAGAGCCUCGACCUUUGAUAUUCCUGCUUCCCCCUCUCAAGUGCCGGGAUUACAAGUGUCCACGAUCAUGCCUGGCUUCCUGUGCUGCUGAAGAUCAAACCCAAGGCUUCUCAGAUGUUACACAUUCUACCAGCUCAGGCUCUACCUGCACACUCUCGACUCUGCUGCCUCAGUUCCCUAGUACGGAGGUUACAGCAAAGAACAAGCCUAUCAGCGUUAUACAGCUAAUCGUGAAGAACGGAUGGUUCCACAGUGACGUGAGGAAGGACACCUGCAAAACAGAGUGGGAGAUACAGUCUCAGGACACCGAGCCCUACUCCCUACUGUACAGAAAUGUAUGAUGCUUUACCAUCUAAACGACAACCACCCUAGUUCUCUUUACUGUGCCGUGAAAACAAAACUCACACUUUAUCUUUUUA